rnacentral:rRNA from 1 species
UAUAGAGGGGGCAAGCGUUGUUCGGAAUUACUGGGCGUAAAGGGCGCGUAGGCGGCCUUCUAAGUCGAACGUGAAAUCCCCGGGCUCAACCCGGGAACUGCGUCCGAUACUGGAAGGCUUGAAUCCGGGAGAGGAUGGUGGAAUUCCCGGUGUAGCGGUGAAAUGCGUAGAGAUCGGGAGGAACACCCGUGGCGAAGGCGGCCAUCUGGACCAGUACUGACGCUGAGGCACGAAAGCCAGGGGAGCAAACGGG